GACGAACGCUGGCGGCGUGCUUAACACAUGCAAGUCGAACGGAAAGGCCCUGCUUGCAGGGUACUCGAGUGGCGAACGGGUGAGUAACACGUGGGUGAUCUGCCCUGCACUUCGGGAUAAGCUUGGUAAACUGGGUCUAAUACCGGAUAGGACCGCACUUUAGUGUGUGUGGUGGAAAGUUUUUUCGGUGUAGGAUGAGCUCGCGGCCUAUCAGCUUGUUGGUGGGGUAAUGGCCUACCAAGGCGGCGACGGGUAGCCGGCCUGAGAGGGUGUACGGCCACAUUGGAACUGAGAUACGGCCCAGACUCCUACGGGAGGCAGCAAUGGGGAAUAUUGCACAAUGGGCGCAAGCCUGAGGCAGCGACGCCGCGUGGGGGAUGAAGGCCUUCGGGUUGUAAACUCCUGUCGCUAGGGACGAAGCUUUGUUGUGACGGUACCUAGAUAAGAAGCACCGGCUAACUACGUG
rnacentral:rRNA from 1 species